GGCCUCGGUAGACUCUGGGUCCACCUCCCACCCGUGUCUAUCGUACCUUGUUGCUUCGGCGGGCCCGCCGUUUCGACGGCCGCCGGGGAGGCCUUGCGCCCCCGGGCCCGCGCCCGCCGAAGACCCCAACAUGAACGCUGUUCUGAAAGUAUGCAGUCUGAGUUGAUUAUCGUAAUCAGUUAAAACUUUCAACAACGGAUCUCUUGGUUCCGGCAUCGAUGAAGAACGCAGCGAAAUGCGAUAAGUAAUGUGAAUUGCAGAAUUCAGUGAAUCAUCGAGUCUUUGAACGCACAUUGCGCCCCCUGGUAUUCCGGGGGGCAUGCCUGUCCGAGCGUCAUUGCUGCCCUCAAGCACGGCUUGUGUGUUGGGCCCCCGUCCCCCUCUCCCGGGGGACGGGCCCGAAAGGCAGCGGCGGCACCGCGUCCGGUCCUCGAGCGUAUGGGGCUUUGUCACCUGCUCUGUAGGCCCGGCCGGCGCCAGCCGACACCCAACUUUAUUUUUCUAAGGUUGACCUCGGAUCAGGUAGGGAUACCCGCUGAACUUAAGCAUAUCAAUAAAGCGGAGG
rnacentral:rRNA from 1 species